UGCCACUCUCGCUGGACGCUAGUUAUUAACGGUGGUAGUGGUGCAGCAUGCGUUAUUAAGACUUCCUGUGUGCUAUAGUGGUGCUGCAUGCAUUAGUCAUCACUGGUUUGGGUUCAAGACACUCCUGUUGUUACUGGUGAUUAUCAGAUUGGCAUGGACCAGACCUGAAGCGAGAUCUCCCAUAAUGCGAUCGUCUGAGGCAAUUCCUCUUGUACUCCGUUAUACUAAAAUGCAGGUUAAUCCCUCCUUAACACAGGCGCGCCGAGGUAUGGCAGGGUUUAAAAAACGGACGACUUACUUCAUUAUUCCAAGUGUAGCUAUACCAUUCGAUAACGACAGGAGGACAUCCGACGUUGUAGCUGACGAUUCAAUAAUCGAAAGUCGACAGGAAAGUGCACAGGAGAAAGUAUCGAUAUAUAUCGCUCGCUUGAGAAAUAAGGUUCAGCUUGAAGAAGAAGUCGUCACCUUUUCCUUUCUUCUGAAAGGACUGUCGACAAUUUUCAGCCUCAUGACAAACAAUGCGUUCGUUAUGCAGAAAGUGAUGCGGUACAAUGGGCCACACUGGCAAUGCGCUAGCGACGACUGCCGUUU